CAGAGUAGCUUGCGUCUCGCGGUGACGAGUGGCGGACGGGUGAGUAAUGGCUGGGAAACUGCCGGAUGGAGGGGGAUAGGUACAGGAAACUANNGCUAAUACCGCANAAGGUCGCAAGACCAAAGAGGGGGACCUUCGGGCCUCUUGCCAUCGGAUGUGCCCAGAUGGGAUUAGCUAGUAGGUGGGGUAACGGCUCACCUAGGGGACGAUCCCUAGCUGGUCUGAGAGGAUGACCAGCCGCACUGGAACUGAGACACGGUCCAGACUCCUACGGGAGGCAGCAGUGGGGAAUAUUGCACAAUGGGCGCAAGCCUGAUGCAGCCAUGCCGCGUGUAUGAAGAAGGCCUUCGGGUUGUAAAGUACUUUCAGCGAGGAGGAAGGCAUUAAGGUUAAUAACCUUAAUGAUUGACGUUACUCGCACAAGAAGCACCGGCUAACUCCUUGCCAGCNGCCGCGGUGAUACUGAGGGUGCAAGCGUGGAUCGGAAUUACNGGGCGUGAUGCGCACGCAGGCGGUCUGUCAAGUCCGAGGUGAAAUCCCCGGGCUCAACCUGGNAACUGCAUUUGAAACUGGCCCGCUNGAGUCUUGUACANNGGGGGUAGAAUUCCANGUGUANCGUUCAAAUGCNUCGACAUCUGGAGGAAUACUCNUNGUCAACGUCGUUCCCUGGGUGAACAACGACGCUNUCUUAUCAAGUUUGGUC
rnacentral:rRNA from 1 species